AAGCCAGACUCCUACGGGAGGCAGCAGUGAGGAAUAUUGGUCAAUGGGCUUACGCCUGAACCAGCCAAGUCGCGUGAGGGAUGACGGCCCUAUGGGUUGUAAACCUCUUUUGCCGGGGAGCAAAGAGCGGGACGCGUCCCGCCUCGAGAGUACCCGGAGAAAAAGCAUCGGCUAACUCCGUGCCAGCAGCCGCGGUAAUACGGAGGAUGCGAGCGUUAUCCGGAUUUAUUGGGUUUAAAGGGUGCGCAGGCGGAGGUGCAAGUCAGCGGUCAAAUUGCGGGGCUCAACCCCGUACUGCCGUUGAAACUGCAUCCCUUGAGUGCGCGAGAAGUAUGCGGAAUGCGUGGUGUAGCGGUGAAAUGCAUAGAUAUCACGCAGAACUCCGAUUGCGAAGGCAGCAUACCGGCGCGCAACUGACGCUCAUGCACGAAAGCGUGGGUAUCGAACAGGAUUAGAUACCCUAGUACA
rnacentral:rRNA from 1 species